rnacentral:tRNA from 1 species
GGCUCGGUAGCUUAGUUGGUAAAGCGCUCGUCUAGCAUACAGGGUUCAAAUCCCAGCCGAGCAC